GCCUAAUACAUGCAAGUCGAACGGUAACAGUCCCGGCAACGGGAGCUGACGAGUGGCGCACGGGUGCGUAACACGUAUGCAACCUACCCUGUACUGGGGGAUAACCCUGAGAAAUCGGGGCUAAUACCCCAUGGUAAUAUAGAAGGACAUCCUUUUAUAUUUAAAGAUUCAUUGGUACGGGAUGGGCAUGCGCCCCAUUAGUUAGUUGGUGAGGUAACGGCUCACCAAGGCAUUGAUGGGUAGGGGUUCUGAGAGGAUUACCCCCCACACUGGUACUGAGACACGGACCAGACUCCUACGGGAGGCAGCAGUAAGGAAUAUUGGGCAAUGGAGGCAACUCUGACCCAGCCAUGCCGCGUGCAGGAAGACUGCCCUAUGGGUUGUAAACUGCUUUUUCAGGGGACUAACCGUGGUUACGUGUAGCCACCUGCAUGUACCCUGAGAAUAAGCAUCGGCUAACUCCGUGCCAGCAGCCGCGGUAAUACGGAGGAUGCGAGCGUUAUCCGGAUUUAUUGGGUUUAAAGGGUGCGUAGGCUGACAUGUAAGUCAGUGGUGAAAGACCCCGGCUUAACCGGGGGGUUGCCAUUGAAACUGUAUGUCUUGAGUGUAAUCGAAGUGGGCGGAAUGAGGGGUGUAGCGGUGAAAUGCAUAGAUAUUCCUCAGAACACCGAUAGCGAAGGCAGCUCACUAGCUUACAACUGACGCUGAGGCACGAAAGCGUGGGUAUCAAACAGGAU
rnacentral:rRNA from 1 species